UACGGAGGGUGCGAGCGUUGUCCGGAUUUAUUGGGUUUAAAGGGUGCGUAGGUGGGUUAAUAAGUCAGUGGUGAAAUACGGUUGCUCAACAAUCGAGGUGCCAUUGAUACUGUUAAUCUUGAAACAAGUGGAGGUUGCCGGAAUGGAUGGUGUAGCGGUGAAAUGCAUAGAUAUCAUCCAGAACACCGAUUGCGAAGGCAGGUGACUACGUUUUGAUUUUGACACUGAGGCACGAAAAGCAUGGGGGAGCAAAACAGG
rnacentral:rRNA from 1 species